UACGUAGGGUGCAAGCGUUGCUCGGAAUUACUGGGCGUAAAGCGCACGUAGGCGGUCUUUUAAGUCGGGGGUGAAAUCCUGGAGCUCAACUCCAGAACUGCCUUCGAUACUGGAAGACUUGAGUCCGGGAGAGGUGAGUGGAACUGCGAGUGUAGAGGUGAAAUUCGUAGAUAUUCGCAAGAACACCAGUGGCGAAGGCGGCUCACUGGCCCGGUACUGACGCUGAGGUGCGAAAGCGUGGGGAGCAAACAGG
rnacentral:rRNA from 1 species